rnacentral:rRNA from 1 species
UACGAAGGGGGCUAGCGUUGCUCGGAAUUACUGGGCGUAAAGGGCGCGUAGGCGGGUCGUUUAGUUAGAGGUGAAAGCCCAGGGCUCAACCCUGGAAUUGCCUUUAAUACUGGCGGCCUUGAGUAUGGCAGAGGUGUGUGGAACUCCGAGUGUAGAGGUGAAAUGCGCAGAUAUCGGGAGGAACACCGAUUGCGAAGGCAGCUCGCUGGGACGUCACUGACGCUGAGACGCGAAAGCGUGGGGAGCAAACAGG